AGGUCAAUCUCUAGAUAAUA
rnacentral:snRNA from 1 species